rnacentral:lncRNA from 1 species
GGCUAAACUGAGGAAUGCUACCCAUGACCAUAAUGAUUUUAUGGGUCAACCUAUUUGGUUUAAUACACUUUUAAAAAUUGAUAAUAAAACUAUUUUUUAUGAAAAAUGGUGUGAGGCAGGAAUAUUUUUUGUCAAUGAUUUACUGAACGAGAACAAUGAAUUUCUGUCUUUUAAUCAAUUUAAAGAAACAUAUGAUAUUGAUACAAAUUUUCUUCAAUUCUAUGGUAUAUAUGGGUCGUUUUCAAAAAAUGUCGAAUUUUCAGUACACCCAUGCUAACUUUUUUAUUUCUAAUGGAAAUUUCAGUUGUAAUGGUUUAAAUGAAAGCUUGUCGGAUUUGUGAUUCAGAACAUUAAUAAUAAACACACCUUACAUCUAUUUUGAUAAGAUUAAACUGCAUUUAAGACCCAUUUUGGGGGUAUUUGUCUGCGUACAGUGUCAGAAAAACACAUUUCAAAUGAUUUUUUUGCGAUUUUCCGAUCGCCUUGAUAUCUGCAAAAGGGACUUUUUAAGAACGUUUAAUAUUACUCUAACGAGAAAUCGUAGCUUCUAUAUCAUUGUAUGUAACAUAUUAUCUACAAACUAAAUUGAAUCUGCGUACAGGAGGUUCAUGUCUUUCCUGUUACCGCUACUUAAAUCAGCCGUGAAAUUAUUCUCCCUAUGAAUAUUGAAUCAGUCAGUGUUGAUCUCAAAAGUGCAAAGUAAUCUUUACAUUUAAAACGCCUCGUUUCUUGAACGACAGUGUAGAGAAAAGAAAUUUCAAGACAUAUAGUGAAAAAAAAUAUAGCGUACUUUUUUUCAUGUCUAUGCUGUUACCACCAAUUUUGAUUAAAUACACCAACAGUAUACUUGUAAAAAGUGCAAUAACGUGUUGGAAACCAAAUUCACAAUAGAAAAACGUAAUCACUCCACCAAAGGGAGUAGUUAUUUCACAACAGCAAUCAAAAAACGAAGAAAUUUGUCUAUCCUGUUAUGUCUAUCCUGUUACUAUUGUUGCUAUGGUUACAGUAACAGGAUAGACAAUUGUAGACAAAAACGUCGUUAUUUUUUUUAUCUUAACAUAUAGGUGCAAAACGAAUGAAAUAUUUCGUUGUUUGAAGUCAUCUUAAGGUUAUAACGUAUUAAUCUUCCCAAUUAAGCAUUCGCAGGUGCAAUACUGAUAUCGGUAACAGGAUAGACA